UACGAGGGGUGCAAGCGUUAUUCGGAAUUACUGGGCGUAAAGGGUGUGUAGACGGCUUGUUAAGUCUACUGUUAAAGACCCCGGCUUAACCGGGGAAAAGCAGUGGAAACUGGCAAACUUGAGGGUGGAAGAGAGAAGUGGAAUUCUCGGAGUAGCGGUAAAAUGCGUAGAUCUCGAGAGGAACACCGAUGGCGAAGGCAGCUUCUUGGUCCAUUCCUGACGUUGAAACACGAAAGCGUGGGUAGCAAACAGG
rnacentral:rRNA from 1 species